AACUCGUGGGGGGCAAUCUCGCUCGGGCGAACUAGCUGUUUUGCUCGUUGCAGCGCAUUCGCUGUGCUGUCUUUGAAUGUGUGCGUGCGUCAAAAGCGAGCAAAACGCCGCUGUGUCAAAAAAUGUGUAAACAAACUCAGUUGGAGUUCAGAAAAGUAAACAUGCGCAAUCCGCUUGGUUAUGUGCAAAAAUUCGUGAAAUAAUCUAAAUAUUCUUUAUUUUGAACAGAUCUUACUUAUUACCGAUAUGUGCAGUGCCUUGGAAUAACAAAAAUUGCUUCAAAAAAGCUGUGUGUGUGGCUGAUACUCUAGCAUCUUUCCAUGUGUGUAAACAACGCCAAGAGUAUUACUGUUUUGUGAUCAUCAUAUUUCAUUCGGAUUGCACAUUACCGGGCAGAAAAAGCUUCAAGCAACCAAUUUUGUACAGCAUCCGCACGCUGUAUGAAGGUGUAAAACAAAUUUUCAUCUGUAAGAUGCUCUUCAAACCUGUCCAGUGACUCUUCGUUGCUUAUAUAUUGCAUCGGGAUGGUUUGAGCAUGGCGUCGCACGCCUUUCAUCGGGUGUAUUGUGGCCACUACCGCAGCCGUUUGGGCAGUUCAGGCAUCCAGUUUUAAUAAUGAACAUUGUGAACCAAAAUCGUGCCCAGGACAAGUUCUUUUUGCUUGAAUUAACUCUGUGUUCUUAUUUACAUGAAUAGAUACGGUUGACGGAUGAAUGCUGCUUGCUGACGACUGCUCUUCGUGAAAUGUUGAUCCCGGUGAUGAAACACACGGUUCCGGUGUCAUGCUUGGUGACGGCUGACGGGAUCCUUGAUGCACGACAGUCGUUUUUGCCGGUCGCGCAACGUCAUGCGCGCAUGAACCAGCAGCUUAAGCAACAGACGAUUUCGGCGUCGCACUUGUAGUCGGCUGCGAUCCUUGCAUUUGUUCGUCAAACGAUCCUAACGAUCACGGAAUGCCAUCCACGGAUCCAGCAGCGGGAAUGACCGAUGGAACCAGCACCGGGGGCAAGAGACGGUUCCGACGUCGGUCUUGAUGACGUUCGCGGUCCAAAAACACGGACGAUCGCGCCUGUGGAGCAUAAUACAGCCCAAGGCAGUUGUUGCAGUGCAAAAAGGCGCCCUUUCUUUGGUGGUUCCGACAUUAUAUUUUGGCAGAAAUAAUCAAUCGUUUUAUUAUUUUUUAUGUGAAACUGCUGAGUUGUAUUUGAAUGCUGCUUUGCGGUUUGAAAUCUCGAUGUUUAUGUUUUCAGCUGUGAAUUUCAAUAAAGGGUAACAAUCACA